AUUUAAAAGGGCUUCAUGUAUACUUGGCAAGUACUCUACCACUGAGGUAUACAACAACCUCAAGAUCUAUAAAUUCUUACUAGAAUUUAAAAUUAUUUUGGUAGUAGUAGCAUUUAUUAGGAAAGGAAUUUAGUACAACAGGAUAAAAGUGGGGAGAAAUGGGAAAAAAGAGACUCCUACACAUGUUAACUGUAGAUAUGCACUGCUAAGUUUCCUCCUAAAGAACUGAUAUUAUUAUUAUUAUUAUUGUUAUUAUUUUGGUAGGAUUGGGGUUUGAACUCAGGGCUUCAUGCUUACAAAAUAGGCACUCUACUGCUUGUGCCACACCUCCAGUCCAUUUUGCUCUGGUUAUAUUGGAGAUGGGGGUUUCUCAAAACAUUUGCCCAGGCUGGCCUCGAACUGUGAUUCUCCUAAUCUCAGCCUCCCAAGUAGCUAGGAUUAUAGGGGUAAGCCACUGGUACCCAUCUGACAUUAUUUCCUAUGCUACUUGCAUUUUCCUUUGUGCAUUCUCUUUUAUUUUCUCCUCCAUAUUUUUUUGCCUGCUAUUUGUUAACUGUUCAAGAUCAGGGUUCCUUCUCUUUCUUCUGACUACAUAAUAAAAUAUUUUAGUUUUGUUUUAGAAAUGCAUUCUAUUGUUUUUUGAGGUGCUAUUUCCUGUAAAAAGUUACUUUCAGCCUUAUCACUUCCCUUGUUUACCAGAGUUUUAAGUUUUGAUGUUCUAUCAUCAUUUAUCAUAUUUUCCUUAACAAAAUGCUGCAGUGCAAAAUAUGAUCUUAUACUAGAUGAGCAGGCUGAUGACUCAAAAUCAAGUCACUCACAUACAAGUAAAAAGCACAAGAAAAAAACCCGCCACUGCUCAGAAGAAAAAGAAGAUGAGGACUACAUGCCAAUCAGAAAUACUAACCAGGAUAUCUACAGGGAAAUGGGGUUUGGUCACUAUGAAGAAGAAACUUGUUGGGAGAAACAAAAGAGUGAAAAGAGAGACCGGCCUCAGAAGCACAGUCGUAGCAGAUCUCGAGAGAGGGAUGGCCACUACAGUACUAGCCACAAACCCAGGUACCAGACAGAUUACGAAAGAGAACGGAGUAAGAAGAGGGACCGAAGCAGAAGCCCAAAGAAGCCCAGAGACAAAGAAAAGUCUAAGUACAGAUGAGAGGCGAGGAGCCGACCACAUGGCUGACAUGCCUACUCUGGCCUGACUCAGUGUGCCAGCAGAGAUGCUCACAUUUGUGUCCAAGCAGUUAAAGACUGUUAUUUUCUUUCUUUCAUACUAGAAUUAUGGCCCUUUUAGAUUAAUACUGGUAAUACAGGACACUGAAAGAUAAUUGAACAUUUCCAUGUGUACUUUUUUACACCAAUUGUAUUGUUGUAAAUAAAUGGUAGAAUUCAUUUUCA
rnacentral:lncRNA from 1 species